rnacentral:rRNA from 1 species
GACGAACGCUGGCGGCGUGCUUAACACAUGCAAGUCGAACGAUGAAGCCGGAGCUUGCUCUGGUGGAUUAGUGGCGAACGGGUGAGUAACACGUGAGUAACCUGCCCUUGACUCUGGGAUAAGCGUUGGAAACGACGUCUAAUACCGGAUACGAACUGGGACCGCAUGGUCACCAGCUGGAAAGAACUUCGGUCAAGGAUGGACUCGCGGCCUAUCAGUUAGUUGGUGAGGUAACGGCUCACCAAGACGACGACGGGUAGCCGGCCUGAGAGGGUGACCGGCCACACUGGGACUGAGACACGGCCCAGACUCCUACGGGAGGCAGCAGUGGGGAAUAUUGCACAAUGGGCGCAAGCCUGAUGCAGCAACGCCGCGUGAGGGACGACGGCCUUCGGGUUGUAAACCUCUUUUAGCAGGGAAGAAGCGAAAGUGACGGUACCUGCAGAAAAAGCACCGGCUAACUACGUGCCAGCCGCCGCCGUAACAC